GACGAACGCUGGCGGCGUGCUUAACACAUGCAAGUCGAACGGAAAGGCCCUGCUCCUGUGGGGGGCGCGAGUGGCGAGCGGGUGAGUAACACGUGAGUAAGCUGACCUCAGCUGGAGGAGACCGUCAGGAAACUGGGGGUAAUGCAGCAUAGGGGCUCAUGCUGCAGGGGGGGGGUUGGCGAGUGUCGGGGGUGGGGGAUGGACUCGCGGCUUAUCAGCCGAUGGGUGGGGUAGGGGCUUACCAGGGCUUUGACGGGAAGCGGGCCGUCGCGGGUGACCGGCCACCUUGGUACGGCUAUACGGCCCCGCCUCCUACGGGAGGCAGCAGUGGGGAAUAUUGCACCAUGGGCGGAAGCCUGAUGCAGCAGCGCCGCGUGCGGGAUGACGGCCUCCGGGUUGUAAACCGCUUUCGCCUGUGACGAAGCGUGAGUGACGGUAAUGGGUAAAGAAGCACCGGCUAACUCCGUG
rnacentral:rRNA from 1 species